rnacentral:rRNA from 1 species
UACAGAGGCCUCGAGCGUUAGGCGGAAUCACUGGGCUUAAAGCGUGUGUAGGCGGAGUUCUAAGUACCUUGUGAAAUCCCACGGCUCAACCGUGGAACUGCUUGGUAUACUGGUUCUCUUGAGGUACCUAGGGGCGAGCGGAACAAGUGGUGGAGCGGUGAAAUGCGUAGAUAUCACUUGGAACGCCAACGGUGAAAACAGCUCGCUGGGGGUAUCCUGACGCUGAGACGACGAAAGCCAGGGGAGCAAACGGG